rnacentral:lncRNA from 1 species
UACUGUGUUUAUUUUGUAGCCCUAUCCUUCUUUAUUGUAUAGGUACACCAAUUUAAUUUUUAAUUCAUAUUGAGUCAUAAAAAAUGGGUUUGAAUCAACCUCCAAACUAUCCAUGAUUCUGUAAUGAGGAGUACCCAAAUUGCAUCCAUGCUUAAAUUCACAUCGACAAAAGUCUAAUAACCGAGCUUUUGUUUAAUUUCUUCAA